rnacentral:lncRNA from 1 species
GCAAACCCAUGCAACGAAUUUGCUUUCUUAAGAAAAUCAAAGUCGUUGUUUCUUCUACCAAUGUUACAAAUGUAUAGUUUUACAGACGCGAAUUUAGGAUUUGAACAUCAUGAAUGGCAACGGAACUUACUAACCACUUGAGUUGGGUGUAUAUGAAAUUUAGUAUUUGUAUAUAUUUAGUAGAUUUCUCAACACACGUACGAAAUGUUAUACUGUCUUCAAAGAAGCUGAAAAAAUUUACUUGUCACACAAAUAUCUUCUAAAACUUCAAAAGAAACCAAAAACAAAUAAACACAACACAAGAAUAUAAGUUCCCACCAUCAGCCAAAUUCAGCUUCACCAUAAGUUUACCAGUCUAAUAUAUCAGCAAUCUAUACCGCACACAGCUGACUAACGAUCAGCUUGGGCACGUUUAUGCAUCCACUCAUAGCUGAAGUAUCAGUGUCUCGAUAGCCUCCUAACCCUGCAAUAUUAGCUCAUGUAAGUCCCCUACUAUAUCAAAAAUGAAGCAGCCAGACACUUAUUAAACCUUACCGAGGAGAACGAGACCGGGA